CAUUAGGAUGUGGCACAAAAUUUCCUGUUCAAUGGCAUCGACGAGCUUGAAAGCAAAAGGUUUCUGAAUUACUUUCCGGAGUUUCGCUGCGAACAUGGUACAAUCAACACGAAACGUAGUAUGGCAGGAAAGUCUUACGAACAUCGACCUUGGGAUGAAAGAGGUGAAUUUAUUGGAGAUACUAUCAAAAGUUGAUGUGAUUAAGGGGGUUUCCCAUGUACAAAGUAGAAGAAUGGGCAGUAAACUGAAGUUUGAACUUGAGAGAUUUCUCAAUUUUGAUUUGUGUUCUUCUCCCUAUACUCAAACAAAUAAACACAAAGAAGGACGCUGAGCUAGAAACAGAGGCCAUGGUUCUGCUGUGACUUCAGUUUUCUGUUGUGUUGGCGCACUUGCUAUAAUGGGUUCUCUACAACAUAUUGACAAGGAUCUCCUUGUCUAGUGAUUAUGUGAGCGGCAAGUCAAAUCUGGAGGUCCUAGUGGUCGACCCGAGAAACUUCUUGAAUGUGGGUUCGAACUCCUAUUACAUACUCUAACCAAUUCUUGGCUUGGAAGUUAUUCAUACUCUCCCACUCACCAACUUCAUUGUGUUGCUUCAG